rnacentral:misc_RNA from 1 species
GUAUCCAUGGGUAUGUCAUACCCGCCCAAUUUAACGGGCUCCGUUACUGUAUGGGUCAAUGUGAAAUAUGUUGGAGGGUGUUUACGUAAAAGCUCUUUUAUAACUGCGUUUAAGUAAGGCAUUUUCUCUAUAUCAUUCUCGUCAACCUUUUUAUCACCUACUACGGUUUUGAUCUCUUUGUAUAUUUUCUCUUGUAUGCUUGGAUUCUCAAUCAAUCUCCCUAUGGCCCACUCUAAUGCCG